GACCAGUGUCUUCCUGAGUUGAAAAUUUGAGGAGUACAAUUGCAAGCCUAAGCAUCUUGCAGCUGAAACUUGGAAGUUGGAUAAUUCUUUUAAAAUAAAUCACGUUGGAUUAAAUAGUAUACAGAUUGAAUUGCAAAUGUGACAAUUAGCUGGUUUUGUCCAAAAGUACGCUGUCAUUCAUACCUUAGGAAGAGAGAGUGAGGAGCUUACGUAGAUGAGAGGUUGGAAUUAGGCUGGCCUUUAGGUGAAACAUCAGUCAGAAGUAUUUAGUAGUUUCGGGCUUUGCUAUUUUAAGUAGGAAGUUACAGCACUAUUGCUACUUUAUUAGAUUAUGGCUCCCACUGACAAGGUAUUUUUGCAGGGUUUGUAUUUUUCAGUUUUAACUAUUGGCAGCAGAAGUAUACUGUAUAGAGCAUUUGAUGGGGUACUGGUUUAAAAAAAAAAAAAGAUUUAAAAAAAAACUGAAUUUCAAAUGACUUCCUAUGACAGUUUUAUUUAGGCAAAGAAGCUGUGAUGUUAAUAACGAUAAUAAUAAUUCCAGUGUAACAAUUCCCUAACUUACCUAGGUUAUCUAGCUCAGAUAACUUGACGGAGGAAUUAUAACAUUCCAUGAAAUUUUGUUUCCAAGUAUUUCUGAGGGGACUGGACCUUUUUUCUGCCUGUAUGAAUAUGCAGUUCACACCUUUCUUAAACUUUGAAGCUUUAAAACCUCCUGAAGACAUCCUUUAAAAAAAAAAAAAAAAAGAUAAGCAAAGUGCUCAGCCAUUUCCAUUCCUGAAGACUGAGCUGUGUUUAUUUGUAGUCGUGCGACUGUUGUGUGUUAUAAAACCUGAAAAUUAAAUUUUUGUGAGUUUUAAAGACACAGGUAAAUCACAAUUAAUUUAUUUCAAAAUUUUCUGCUCAUAGCUUACCUAUGACAUUUUUAAAAAUUCAUUUCUGUCAUUUCUUAGAUGGCUUUGUCCCUUUAGAAGUUGAAAAAAGUGGGAUGGAUUCAGGAAUAAUUGCUAUCAAUUAAGACCUGAAGUUACCAGUUGUGAUAGAUGUAUUUAUGUUCACAUUUAUUUAUAAAAAAAACUUAGUAACUGAAAAGUUUUGAGCUUUUUUUUUUUUUUUUUUUUUGAAUUGGUACAAAAUGUAUUUUUGUUCAC